rnacentral:misc_RNA from 1 species
CCUCGAUAAAGACCACAAGCUAGAACUGGCAACUCAGAGUUCGAAGUUUCUUUUACACCCUUCCGUCAGUUCCAUGGUUUUUAAGCUCACUCUCUCUCUCUCUAAGACGAAGAUCGCACCAUCUCUCAACUCAAAGAAAUUCAACACAACAUCACAGUUAGUACAGUAUUCCAUUGAUAAAAAUUCAAGAUUUAUUGAAUACCCUUUUCUUCUUCAUAGCCUCCGUAACGCCCUGUAGCAUAUAUAUUGCAUAUACACUCUUCUUUACAUACAUUUUCUAAAUUCAGGAGACCAAGAACGCACCUUCAACAACGAGCUAGUAGAGGUUGGUUUCCAUUUUUGGUGGCAAGACCAGAAAUGAAACCACAACGCAAGAAACUAGUGUUUAUUUUUCUUCUUGCCAUCUCCUUACUAGAUUCUUGGUCCACUGUGUACUCAGAUCUAGCAUCAGAUAAGAUUGCCCUCGAAGCUCUGCGUAAGGCAGUGGGUGGUCGAUCCCUCCUCUGGAAUAUUUCCAACAGUCCUUGCUCAUGGGUUGGCGUAUUUUGUGAACGGGAUAGAGUUGUUGAGUUGCGCUUGCCUGGCAUGGGUCUCUCCGGGAAGCUACCUAUCGCCCUUGGCAACCUUACACAGCUGCAUACUCUGUCUCUCCGCUUCAACGCACUUUCUGGUCCAAUCCCAGCUGAUAUAGGCAGUCUUGCAUCGCUACGCAAUCUUUACUUGCAAGGGAACUUUUUUUCUGGGGAGAUUCCUGAAUUCUUGUUUAAUUUGCAGAAUUUGGUAAGGCUUGACUUGGCUCACAAUAAUUUCUCUGGCGAAAUCCCUACGAGUUUUAAUAAGUUGAAGAGGCUGGGAACUCUGUAUCUGGAGGAGAAUCAGCUUAAUGGUUCCAUUCCUGACCUGAAUUUGCCAUCUCUUGAUCAAUUCAAUGUUUCUUUUAACAAGUUAACAGGGCCUAUUCCUCAGAGGCUAUCUGGCAAGCCUACAACUGCCUUUGAAGGGAAUUCGCUUUGUGAGAAACCUUUGAUACCUUGCAAUGAUACUUCGAAUGGGAAUGGUAAAUUGUCAGGGGGAGCAAUUGCUGGGAUUGUAAUUGGCUGUGUUAUUGGAUUUUUGCUAAUUCUAAUGAUUUUGAUCAUAUUGUGUCAAAAAAAGAGAACCAAACAAGGAGUUGCUAAAGAUACUCAGGAGCCAAAGAGGGGCGAAGUUGAAAUUCCCCGCGAAAAGGCAGUGGCUGACAGGGGUAAUGCAAGCACGGGGUUCGCCGGUGCAGCGCCGGUGGCAGCAGCUGCAGCGGCGAUCGCCAAAAGUGAAGCUAAGAGUGGUGGUGGCACUAAAAGUUUGGUGUUCUUUGGGAACACACCAAGGGUGUUUGAUUUGGAGGACUUGUUGAGAGCUUCUGCCGAAGUGCUUGGGAAGGGGACUUUUGGGACGACCUAUAAGGCCACCUUAGAGAUGGGAGUGGUGGUGGCUGUGAAAAGAUUGAAGGAUGUGACGGUAACAGAGAAGGAAUUUCGAGAGAAGAUUGAAUCUGUUGGGAAGAUAAAUCAUGAGAAUUUGGUCCCAUCAAGAGCUUAUUAUUAUAACAAGGAUGAAAAACUCCUUGUUUAUGAUUACAUGUCAAUGGGUAGCUUAUCUGCACUUUUACACGGAAAUAGAGGAGCUGGUAGGACUCCAUUGAAUUGGGAGACCAGGUCUGCAAUUGCCCUUGGAGCUGCCAGAGGGAUUGCACACCUACACUCUCAUGGCCCUGCGAUCUCUCAUGGAAACAUUAAAUCAUCAAAUAUCCUGCUUACAACAUCGUUUGAAGCCCGUGUCUCCGACUUUGGCCUUGCCCAUCUCGCAGGACCUACCCCCACUCCCAACCGCAUAGAUGGUUAUCGUGCUCCAGAGGUGACGGAUGCUCGCAAAGUAUCCCAAAAAGCAGAUGUUUACAGCUUCGGGAUACUGCUCUUGGAAUUGCUUACAGGAAAGGCUCCCACUCAUUCCCACUUGAAUGACGAGGGAGUAGACCUUCCAAGAUGGGUUCAGUCUGUGGUUAGAGAUGAGUGGACUUCAGAGGUGUUUGAUCUUGAGCUUCUCCGAUAUCAGAAUGUAGAGGAGGAUAUGGUUCAACUCUUGCAGCUAGCAAUCAAUUGCACUGCUCAGUAUCCUGAUAACCGGCCUUCAAUGGCAGAGAUGAGAGACCAAAUAGAGGAGCUUUGCCGUUCUAGCUCACAAGAGCGUGACACACAUCUUGAUAUUGAGGAUGACAAGGCCUCCCAACAGACGUACUCGGUUGAUUCAGGUGCACCGCCACCUUAAUUCAUUAAGGGCUAAAGAAAGAUCAUUUGAUCUUUCAUUGUUUCCCCAUUUUUAAUACACUUAUUACUUUAGUGUUUCAAUUGUUUGUUUAUUCUUGGGUUCGUCCAUGAGGACCAACUGUGCAUGUUCAUUUUCCCCCUUUACUCUUGUCCAUUUUUCCUUUGCCCUCUUUCAAAGCACAGAUUUACUUUUGCACUUGUAAGACCUUUCACGUUAUGUGUGAGGGGACGAUUCCAACAUUAUUAUUUUACUUGGCUGGUGUGAAGUGUGAAUAACUAGCAAGUUGUUUUAGCUGGGUACUUGGUCCCCUUGGCCUCCUUAACUUUUGGGUUCUGCAUUUCUGAUUUCCUCCUCUAGCCUUUCGCUCAUAAAAUGGAAUAUAGUUUUUCAAUUUGCAAGGUUUGUUUAGAUUUUAGAAGUAUAAAUAUUGGCUUUAUU